rnacentral:rRNA from 1 species
CCAGCAGCCGCGGUAAUUCCAGCUCCAAUAGCGUAUAUUAAAGUUGUUGUGGUUAAAAAGCUCGUAGUUGAACCUUGGGCCUGGCUGGCCGGUCCGCCUCACCGCGUGUACUGGUCCGGCCGGGCCUUUCCCUCUGUGGAACCCCAUGCCCUUCACUGGGCGUGGCGGGGAAACAGGACUUUUACUUUGAAAAAAUUAGAGUGCUCCAGGCAGGCCUAUGCUCGAAUACAUUAGCAUGGAAUAAUGAAAUAGGACGCGCGGUUCUAUUUUGUUGGUUUCUAGGACCGCCGUAAUGAUUAAUAGGGACAGUCGGGGCAUCAGUAUUCAAUGGUCAGAGGUGAAAUUCUUGGAUCCAUUGAAGACUAACUACUGCGAAAGCAUUUGUCAAGGAUGUUUUCAUUAAUCAGGAACGAAAGUUAGGGGAUCGAAGACGAUCAGAUACCGUCGUAGGCUUAACCAUAAACUAUGCCGACUAGGGAUCGGACGAUGUUAUUUUUUGACUCGUUCGGCACCUUACGAGAAAUCAAAGUGCUUGGGCUCCAGGGGGAGUAUGGUCGCAAGGCUGAAACUUAAAGGAAUU